GCCCGAGCCGUCAGCUCAGCGCGCCUGCGGACUGAGGCUCGAUUCCUCCCCUCCCCCUCCUCUCUUCAGCGCGUCUCGGUUUCGCCACCAUUUUGUGUUGCAACGGCUGCUCCUAGUUGUUGUUUUUAUCGUGCCUAGCUCUGUGCGCGCGAGCCGAAAAAACGGCCCCAUGGCGGAGAGUCAGUCAGUGGCCGGGCAGGGAGAAUCUGUGUCCCUGUGUGGGUCUGGAGCCCCCAGCUCGGAGCCUGAGACCCGGCGGCUGAGCGAGCUGCGCGUGAUAGACCUGCGGGCUGAGCUUAGGCGCCGCAAUUUGGACAGCGGUGGGAACAAGAGCGUCCUCAUGGAGCGGUUGAGGAAGGCUAUUGAGGAGGAAGGGGGGGAUCCAGAUGAAAUUCCAGUGGUUUCAGAAAAUAUCAUCAAGAAAACUCCCAAAAGAAGCAGCAAAGGACGUAGACCAGAGGAAGAAGGAGUUGAAGACAAUGGCCUGGAAGAGGAUUCAGGAGAUGGACAGGAGGAUAUUGAAGCAAGUUUGGAUAACUUGCAGGAUAUUGACAUGAUGGAUAUUAGUGUGUUAGAUGAAGCUGAAAUAGAUAAUGGCAAUGCUGUAGAUUGCGGAGAGGAUUACAGUGCUGAUAAUAUUCUUGACUCACUGUGUGAUAGUAAAGAAAAUGCUGAUGCAGAAAUGAAAGAACUUCCAGAUCAGCCUACAAAAUAUGCUGUAGGUAACUUGGAGGCAUCCCCACAAUUUUCAGAAAUUAAAGAAGAAUCAAGAGAAAUACCAGUAGUGAUGGUAGAGGUUGAAGAUGCUGGGAGCAGUUCAGAUGCUGUUUCAUCUGAUUUAACUGCUGUAAAGGAAAUUGAAGAACUACCUUUGGAGCCAGAAAAUGAGAAAAUACUCGACAUUUUGGGGGAAACUUGUAAAUCUGAACUACUUAACGAAGAAACUUCCGAAGUGGAGCAGCCACUUGCACAGGAAGCAAGUAACGUGGUGCCAGGCAAGAGGCUGGCCGGGGAAGAGGACGCUCUUGCUGCCGCUCAGUUGGAGGAAGAUGCUUUAGAUUUGGACAGCAAAUCGGCACAAGCUUUGGCAAGGAAGGAAGCAAAGCGUUUAGUUGUAGCAAAAGGGGAGACAAGUGAACAGACAAUAGAGGAAGAGAAACUGGACUCUGAAUCUUUAGUAGUAGAGACCCUAAGUGAUCAGAGUAGCAAACGAUCCCAAGGCCUGGAAGUCUCUAGUGGGGAAACAGCGGAAAAAGGCGCAGGUCCCGAAGCCAAAGAUAGCAAAGAAGAUGCCAAGAGAACAGAAGACAAAGCUAUUUCUGAGGAAUCCCCUGCUACUAAAGAGUCCUCAGCCAGUGAGGGCGGUGAUCAGAAAAAGAGCCCUGUUGAGGAUGCAGAUACAAAGAUAAUCUCAAAAGAUGAGAAAGGCCGCGCAAGUAGUGGUUCUGGCAGAAAUUUGUGGGUUAGUGGACUUUCCUCCUCUACUAGAGCUACAGACUUGAAGAACCUUUUCAGCAAAUAUGGAAAGGUGGUUGGUGCAAAAGUAGUGACAAAUGCUCGCAGUCCUGGUGCUCGCUGUUAUGGCUUUGUUACGAUGUCAACAUCUGAAGAAGCCACCAAGUGUAUUAGUCACCUCCACAGAACAGAGCUGCAUGGAAAAAUGAUUUCUGUGGAAAAGGCAAAAAAUGAACCAGCUGGGAAAAAGCCUUCAGACAAAAAGGAAGGUGAAACAAGGAAGGAAAAAGACAGACACCAUUCUGCAGAUUCCAAGUCUGAGAAGUCUACUGGCAUUAAAAAGGAGGAGAAGAUGGACAAAAAGGAUGAUGCUAAGAAACUAGAGAAAGAUGGAAAAGAUGAAAAAGAAGGAAAAGAAAAGGAUGAACAGAGAACUGGAUCCUCUGAUCGAUCUAGGGCAAGCAAAUCAGCAAGCCGAGGAACUGAAAGGACAGUAGUAAUGGAUAAAUCAAAAGGAGAGCCAGUUAUCAGUGUGAAAACAUCUACAUCAAAAGAGAGGAGUACGAAAAGCCAGGAUCGCAAAUCUGAGAGCAAAGAGAAGCAAGAUAUUUUAUCGUUUGAUAAAAUCAAAGAACAACGAGAACGUGAACGUCAGAGGCAAAGAGAGCGAGAAAUCAGAGAAACAGAAAGACGUCGAGAGAGAGAGAGGCGAGAGCGAGAGCAGCGCCUUCAAGCCAUUCAUGAACGGGAUGAAAGGCAGAGGCUCCAGAGAGAACGUGAGCGACUUGAAUUUCAACGGCAGCGUCUUGACAGAGAGCGCUUGGAGAGAGAGCGCUUGGAGAGAGAGAGAAUACACAUAGAGCAGGAAAGAAGAAGAGAACAGGAACGCAUCCAGCGAGAGAGGGAAGAGCUGAGACGUCAGCAAGAACAGCUACGUUAUGAACAAGAACGACGAUCUGCGAUGAGAAGGCCUUAUGAUCCUGAUGGCAGGCGAGAUGACCCAUACUGGCCAGAGGCAAAGCGAAUGGCAAUGGAUGAUAGAUACCAUUCUGAAUUUAAUCGUCAAGAUCGCUUUCAUGACUUUGACCACAGGGAUCGUGGUAGAUACCAAGAUCAUUCUUUGGACAGAAGAGAUGGUUCAAGAGGAAUACCAGAUCGAGAUGGGCAGCAUUACCCAGAUGAACGCCAUGGAGGGCCUGAUCGUCAUUCCCGGGACUCCCGAGAUGGUUGGAGUGGCUAUGGGUCUGACAGAAGAAUGACUGAAGGGAGAGGGAUGCCUCCGCAAUCCCGAGAUGGACGUGACUGGGGAGAUCAUGGUCGAAAGUUAGAGGGGCAUCAAGAUCGUUCAUGGCAGGGAAGUGUGGAUGGAGGAAUGAUGGGACGGGAUCAUGAGAGAUGGCAAGGUGGUGAUAGAAGCAUGCCUGGUCAGUCAGGACCAGGCCAUGUGAUGAAUCGAGGAGGGAUGUCAGGGCGUGGAGGCUUCACACAAGGUGGAAACCAGAGCCAGAUAAUGCAGAGUAGUGGAAUACAAGGAGGAUUUGCAGGACAGGAUCGACCGAACAGACUGACUGAUCCCCGUUUUACCCGCCGCUACUGAAAGCACUAUCUAUCAUAUAUAUUCUUUGGUGCUGUACUUCAUAAGAUGGGCUUAAAUACAGUGAAGGGAAGACACAGUCUGCUUUCAACACCAUCAGUUUCUAAAGCUAGAACCAACGAUAGUAAAUGCUGACGGAGAGGAAAGCUGGACAAGCGGUCUUUUUGUGAUUAAUACCUAAGGGACGAAGUGAAUGAAACGAGGAAGCAAAAACGCAGUAGACCCCUGAUAUCCCCAGCAACUGCUGCAGAAGGAGGUGUUCUGCCAUGGGCAAGUAAGGUGACUGUUGGUAACGACUGUUUGUUAUUUCGGCCUCCCAGAGGCAGUACUGAAGGCUAAGCAACCCUUUCCUGCCCUGUGGAUAUCGUUAACUGCAUCCACCUUAGUUUUGCUUUGGCUGUUUGUGUUUUGUCUUGUUAUCCUACGUGUGCAGAUAGAAAGGGAAGGAUACAAUACUUACACUUUCAGACGAAUUGCCACGGCUGAAGUUGAAGAGACCAGAAAAACGUAAGCAAGCUGAGGUGCGAAAACCACGUGGAACCAGCCAAGAGCCGUCUCCGUCUCCCGCAAACAAAAGCCCGUCCUUCCUGACUAGGAAGGCUCACUGUUAGUAGCGAUCGAAAUAAUAGGUCACAGACGUAUAACGAAGGUCUGUCCGCCUUACAGCAAGUAUGCUACAUACGUGUGUUUCUGUGCGUGUGACUUCACAUGUUUGUGAAAGAUCCUAGUUUAAAAGCUAUGAGACUGCAAAUUAUUAUCUUAGGGGAAUGAUACUGAAGUGGCCAAAGUUUCUGAAGAAGGAGAGGGAGAAAGAGAGAGAGGGAGAAAGUGCACGAACUGUAAAAUUAGGGAUGGUUUUCAGAGAUGGUUUUACCUGCCGCCUCGGGGGCUGCGGUGGGAGCUGACCCUUCCCCGACGGACGGACGGUCGGACAGACGGACGCUGGCGUGGCGAUGACUCUUCAGGUGUCACGGGGUAAGGGGAAGCGUGCCGGCACCGAGCUCCAUGGCAGGCUCGCUCCAAGGUGGUGUUUCUGCCCAGUAAAACAAUAAACAGCCGCUUUAUUCUU